CCUACGGGGGGCUGCAGUGGGGAAUAUUGCACAAUGGGCGCAAGCCUGAUGCAGCAACGCCGCGUGAGGGAUGACGGCCUUCGGGUUGUAAACCUCUUUUAGCAGGGAAGAAGCGAAAGUGACGGUACCUGCAGAAAAAGCGCCGGCUAACUACGUGCCAGCAGCCGCGGUAAUACGUAGGGCGCAAGCGUUAUCCGGAAUUAUUGGGCGUAAAGAGCUCGUAGGCGGUUUGUCGCGUCUGCUGUGAAAUCCCGAGGCUCAACCUCGGAUCUGCAGUGGGUACGGGCAGACUAGAGUGCGGUAGGGGAGAUUGGAAUUCCUGGUGUAGCGGUGGAAUGCGCAGAUAUCAGGAGGAACACCGAUGGCGAAGGCAGAUCUCUGGGCCGUAACUGACGCUGAGGAGCGAAAGCGUGGGGAGCAAACAGGCUUAGAUACCCCGGUAGUC
rnacentral:rRNA from 1 species